rnacentral:rRNA from 1 species
UGUCGUGUAGAUAGUCGCGUGGAAACACCUGGUCUCAUUCCGAACCCAGCAUUUAAGCACGCUUGACGCCGAAGGUAGCACCUGCAAGAAUAGGUAACGCGACAU